GCCGCUUCGCGAAGUGACAGGUUUUCAACAUGGCCGCCGAUGUAAACGCUCGUGCGCGCCAUGUCAUCAAGUAAAGAAAGAAAUAAAGUGUUCUUCUUCAAGUUAGCCGGCCAAAAUUAAUUUUACGUGAAAGGACUUGGAUAACAUGCUUAAUCGAUGCAGAAUCACUUGGUGGUCACAAAUCAACAAGUUACAACACUUGUGUUAAAAACUGCCGGUAGUAGCCGAAUAAAAAGAAACCCACGCCAUUCCUGCGGUAACCGUUUCAAACAACGCGUUUCUUAAUGGUUAAAAUUUCAACAAUUAGUGACUCAUUGACAAUAAAUAAGAAAAUGCAACGAUCAAGGACCGUGCCACAAAAUGAUACAAAUAAGUCUGACAGAAGAAGAGUGGACCAUCCGAUGUCAAUGAAAAGCUGAUAUUGCAACCAAAUUCGUGGGCGUACUUUGUUGCCAAGGCGUUAUGGUCCCAACAUCGAAUAUCAUGCGGAUAUUCCUUUAAAUACCAACGUGUUCAAUACUGUCCUGAAACAAGAAACUAUUUUAUAAAAUUUCACGGUGUCUGCAAGAAGUCCAAUUGUCCAAAUACCAUUAAUGGUAUCGGAGAGAAAAAGCACAACAUUAAUGAAGUGGUCUUCGGCAUCGAAAUGAAUGAAAUGCACCAUGACGAAAGGCAGCAACCAUUUCGAUGGCCCUGCGGUGAAGAUUAAGUCAGACUUGAAGAGCGGUACACAACAGGUCCAAUUUCGUACGAGCUGGCAUAACCCGAAAGUGAUCUGCGAAGCUAUAUAAAAAAUGUUUAUAAAACAAAUUACCAAAAAAAGCUUUAUAAAAUAUGUUUUUUUUAAAUGGAAAAAAUAAAUUUAAGGAAUUGAAACAAAAAA